GAGGAGCUUUUGUUCCUCAUUUUACUUUAGUCUAAGGCUGAAAACACAUGCCUUGCUGUGUCUCUGGAGAUACCCUAGGCAAUACCCUAACCAGCUUCCUUCCUCUGGAGUAGAAGCUUAGGCAGUCAUUUCUGUUCUGCUUUUUCCUGCUAUGUUGGCCAUGGCAGUUUUAGAUGUGAAAGCAUCAGCUAUUUCUGUUGUAUAUUUUAUGAAACCUUCAAACUUAUUCUGCUUGUAUAUAUGGCACACUGCUGAAGAUAUUAAUAAGGUCUUAAGAUGGUCUUCUACACUAAGCUACUAUCAGCAAUAAUUAAUCUUCCUAAACAUAUAACUUGGGUGGCUCGACUGCUCUCAAGAGCCCUUGUUUUCUGAGGCAGCUGGGAGGCCAUGCAGUCUGUCCACUGGGCUCCCUCCACAGCGAUGGAUCACAGUCCCAGCACAGGACCGAGUGACCUGAAAGGAGCAGUCCAACAAGGAUCCUGGCUGUCCAGACUCUCCAAGUUUGCUUUGCCCUAGGCAGAAGGAUUAGCUACAGGCAAAAGGAAGGAGAAGCCUUAUCCUCUGGCUAAGACGUUGCUACCAAAUGGCCAUUUGGAUUUUCUGUCCUGAAGGAACUGUGGCAGUAAUCCCUGACUGAAUUUUUGCCUUUCUACAGAUUGUAUGAAGACUGUUUGUCCUUGAAAAGAAUGGGACCAGCAUCUAUGCAACUCAAAUCUAUCAACAGAAUUUUCAGGUCAUAACUUUAAAAAAAAACAACAACAAAAACUAGUCAAUUAAAUGUAAUAGCAUUUUUUGUCGGGUAAAUUACAGUAAGAAAUUGGUUGCUUGGGAAUUAUUCCUCUAGAAAAGCUAAUUUCUUUGUAUGCAUAAUUUUAAAUACUUAAAAGUAAUUAGGAAACGUACUUCAUAAGCAAUUUUAAAACUAAAAAAAAAUAAAUUAUUGGUUUAAAACAUUUUUGCAAA